UAAUACGAAUCCGGCUCGUUUGGACCAAA
rnacentral:piRNA from 1 species